rnacentral:rRNA from 1 species
UACGGGGGGGAGCAAGCGUUGUUCGGAUUUACUGGGCGUAAAGGGCGCGUAGGCGGUCAGCACAAGUCAGUUGUGAAAUCUCCGGGCUUAACUCGGAAAGGUCAACUGAUACUGUGCGACUAGAGUGCGGAAGGGGCAACUGGAAUUCUCGGUGUAGCGGUGAAAUGCGUAGAUAUCGAGAGGAACACCUGCGGCGAAGGCGGGUUGCUG